rnacentral:rRNA from 1 species
AGUGAACGCUGGCGGUAGGCCUAACACAUGCAAGUCGAACGGCAGCACAGUAAGAGCUUGCUCUUACGGGUGGCGAGUGGCGGACGGGUGAGGAAUACAUCGGAAUCUACUUUUUCGUGGGGGAUAACGUAGGGAAACUUACGCUAAUACCGCAUACGACCUACGGUUGAAAGCAGGGGAUCUUCGGACCUUGCGCGAUUGAAUGAGCCGCUGUCGGAUUAGCUAGUUGGCGGGGUAAAGGCCCACCAAGGCGACGAUCCGUAGCUGGUCUGAGAGGAUGAUCAGCCACACUGGAACUGAGACACGGUCAAGACUCCUACGGGAGGCAGCAGUGGGGAAUAUUGGACAAUGGGCGCAAGCAUGAUCCAGCCAUACCGCGUGGGUGAAGAAGGCCUUCGGGUUGUAAAGCCCUUUUGUUGGGAAAGAAAAGCAGCAGGUUAAUACCACGCUGUUCUGACGGUACCCAAAGAAUAAGCACCGGCUAACUUCGUG